AUGGAUGGACAACAUGACGUGAGAUCUUCAAAUCUGAAAAAUGGUUGUGAUGUAGUGACCAACUCUGACAAUAUGAAGGCGGUUGAUCAUAUUGAUAGAGUGAGAGAUGAGAAUGUUCAUAGGAGGUAUGACUUGAGGAGUGCAAGAUUUAAGAGUACUUCUGAUGUACCUAGUAGUUCGAGCAAAAGAAAGCUGAAUCGACAUGAUGGAAGGAACAAUGAGCGCAUGAACAGAAACAAUGUAGUGAGGAGUCCAACCAUCCAAAGUAGUUCCAUUCAGCAAAAAUGGAUUACCAAGUGCAAGUAUAAUAUAACUCGUGGGCACAAAAAUAAGAAGAGGACGGAAGCAACGCUAAAUUUUGGAAGUCAGAAGGACAAUACAGAUGUUCCUCCUUUAAACUAUCCAUCGAGAUUCAAAAAUGUGAUGCCAAAAUACGAGUACCAUGUUACCGCCCAUCAAAUGGGGUACUUUCUUUCUGAUGCGUGUUAUGCUUGUGGGAAACCACGAGGUCCCUGCAUGCCAAUGAAGAGAGACAAACAAUUUUUCAGCCUUCCAAUGGUAUCUUUACAUAGAGAAUUUUUGACAAUACCUUGCAAUCUUCAUGAAAAGGUUAACAAGAUGGGUGAAGAUACAAUAAAUAUUGAAGAUAUGUAUCAAAGAAAUUACAAAGUUAAACUUGUAAAAGCUUCUGCAAUGACGUUUGUGUGUGGAAGUGGGUGGCAAGAAUUUGUGAUUACUCAUGAUAUUGAUGAUGGUGAUCGAGUUUGUUUCCACUUCAAAGAAGACUUGGUGACUAUGAUUGCAUUUGUUUACCGAGAUAAGCUUGUAUGGCAUGAUGGAAAGAAGGUUCUUGCUACAAAUGAAGUUCAACCAACUUACAUGAAAGGGCUUGUCCGUUCUUUCAAAAUGGAGAUGAGUAGCACUGACAUCAAUUGCAUGCUUACACUUACAGGUCUAUUACUGAAGAACUAUGCUUGCCAAGAGAAGGUGAAGUUACACUUAUCAAUCGCAGAGGUGAUGUUAAAGUGCAAGGUGCAUACUCCAUUUCUGCUGAUGAUGGUUGUCUUGGUUUGA
rnacentral:rRNA from 1 species